rnacentral:rRNA from 1 species
UACGAAGGGGGCUAGCGUUGUUCGGAAUUACUGGGCGUAAAGGGCGCGUAGGCGGUGUGUCAAGUCAGGCGUGAAAGCCCCGGGCUCAACCUGGGAACCGCGCUUGAGACUGGCACGCUCGAGUUCGGGAGAGGAUGGUGGAAUUCCCAGUGUAGAGGUGAAAUUCGUAGAUAUUGGGAAGAACAUCGAUGGCGAAGGCAGCCAUCUGGACCGACACUGACGCUGAGGCACGAAAGCGUGGGGAGCAAACAGG